GAGCAGAUGGGUCAUAUUCUUUAUAAUGAAUGGGGGACACGAUGUUUUAUGUCCAUAUUUCGGAUUAAAAGCUAACAUGAUGAAUAAUUUGAAAAUGCUUUCUAAGCAUCUCUGUGAGAAAAGGAAUUGUAGUUAACACAAAGGGUGAGCGUUACCAAAGGAACAUAGACGUGUUCAUUUGUGUACGGCUUGUCCCUGGCCACUUUCUCAACAUAAAGGCGAAGGUGAGGAGGACUGUGUUCUGCAAAGUCUAAAAUCCUUCUGAUCCUCUGUAGAACACCUUGACUGACACCUGCUUAAGACUGCUGAAUUGCAAAGUUAAAAAUAGAGACGACACCCAAGAAUUUUUUUCAGAAUGAAAUUCUAGCAUUCUGUUUUCAACUUAAAAUGAGACACGGUGUCUAAAGUGCUUUUGCCUCCCUUUGGUCAUCUAAAUUAAUGGUAACUAACAAUGAGUACUAUGUAUGCCACUGGUAUUUUAAAGAAAACCCAAGUAAAGUUCUUUCUUGGGUACAUGCACGCCUGUGUGUGUGUGUGUGUGUGUGUGUCUGUCUGUCUGUCUGUGUGUCUGCCCACAUGUCUGUGUGUUUAAUAGAAAAAGAUUUCUGAGUAUAAAAUUUAUUUAUUUAUUUAUUUAUUUUUGCCUUUUUGCCUUUUCCAGGGCUGCACCUGCAGCUUAUGGUGGUUCGUUCCCAGGCUAGGGGUCUAAUCGGAGCUGUAGCUGCUGGCCUAUGCCACAGCCACAGCAAUGCCAGAUCUGAGCUGCAUCUGCGACCUACAUCACAGCUCACAGCAACGCCGGAUCCUUAACCCACUGAGCGAGGCCGGGGAUCGAACCCACUACCUCUUGGUUCCUAGUCGGAUUCGUUAACCACUGAGCCACGACGGGAACUCCAUGACAAGUUUCAAAAGUAAGAAAUUCCUCAGAUGCUUUAGGAAAGAGCCAGUACUUUUCCUUAUGUGGGACCUCUUUCUUUCCUAGCAUCACUUUUACGUAGGUGGAUUUGCAGUGUCCACCAUCCUUGUCCAUAUCCCCCAAAGCGGUGUGAGGGCCUACUUAGGAGAGGAAUGUUACAGCUGCUGGUGAAUGUAUCUUACAGAUAAGUCUACAAGUUUAAAAUAAGUCAAAGUUUCAGAUGAUCUACAAGAUUACAAGAUAAGUCAAACUGAUUUGUCCUUUUAUUGGAGAUGAUCAACAUAUGCUGAAGUAUAUGUGAAGAAGAUAAUCUGAUUCAGUACAUGAGAUUCAGCAAAGAAAUUACAGUUUUUCUAUAACUAAAUCAGACCUAAUUGUUUUCUUUUACUUUCCCUAAAUUAUUUUUACAUACAUACAUUGGUUUUUGUUUUGUUUUGUUUUGUUUGUCUUUUUAGGGCUGCAUGCGGAGCACAUGGAAGUGUCCAGGCUUGGGGUCAAAUAGGAGCUGCAACUGUCGGUCUACACCAUAGCCAGAGCAAUGCAGGAUUCUUUACCCACUGAGUGAGGCCAGACAUCAAACUCUCAUCCUCACAGAUACUAGUCGGGUUCAUUACUGCUGAGCCACCAGAGGAACUCCUGCGUAUGUUGUUUAAAAGUACCACCUCUACUGUCUCUCUCAGUCAGCACACUGUUGGAAAGUGAAACUUAAUUUGGCCGUUAUUAAAAAGCAGCUUUUAAGACUGAAUGCAUCUGAGAUUUUUUUAGAGUGCCACAGAUGUGGUUCUAUUUCUAAAAAGAAACUUUUCCUAACUAGAAUCCAUUCGCCAAUGCCAAAUUAAACAUUGUGGUCAUAUACAGCAUGAGAAAAAAAAUUGUGCAUCUUUUCUAGAAAUUCUGACUUUCAUGUCUUGUGUUUUUCUUUUGAAAGUCCAAGAGUAAUCUGAAUGCCCAUCACCUACCAUACUGAAUACUUAUUAUUAAUCAUGAUUUACUUAUAAAGGUCUUCUGUUAAGUGAACAAGGGCUCAGUAUGUGGAAUGGCAGCUUGAUUUUCCUUCUUUUGACAUCUGUUAAAAAUGAGCUAUGAUAUCAUCAAUCAUAUUAACUCUGUGGUAUUGUGUUAUUCCUUGGGUGUUCCCAGAUUUCAUCUGACAACUUUUUCUAGGAGUCAAACCAUAAACACUUACUCCAGAGACUGUAAUGAGAGGUACAGAUAAAAAUCCAGGGACUGGAACUGAUUAAAAACAAAAAAUAAAAAAACUCCAAACAUAGUUUUUACACUCCUUCUUCCUCCAGCUACAAAAUUAGUUCUUCACCUUAAUCGCCUAUAAGAAACCAGGAAAAAAAAAACCCUGAAAAUUUAAAGAAAUGAAGUUAAUUACCAGAGACAGAAUGGAGAAAAGAAUAGAGAAAAGUUUUAGAACAAUAUUAAAUUUAUCCUGAAAUAAUACAAAGUAGUAUGAGAAAGUAUGUAUCAUCAUCAGUUUGAGUAGAAUAUAAUAAUCUGCACAGCCAUAACUAAAAUAGUGGUAGUGCUUUAAGAAUAAUGAUUGUAUCACUUUAAGAAUAAUGAAGUAUUUUAUUGACAAUUUCUAGGAGUAUUUGCUUUAUACAACAAGGAACAAUGAAUAAAACAGUUUUGUUUAAACCAAUGACCUUCAUGGGAAAAUAGCAGUGUAUUUCCUCAUACUUAGAACAUUCUAUUUCUCUUUUUUGAUACCUAUGCACAACCCAAGACUACAGAACCCAACUCUCAAGGACAUGUCAAACGUUGCCUGUGUUUAAAGCUCCUUAAUACCUAUUAAGAUUAUAAACAACAGUAGAGUAUAAGGAGCACUUUGUCAUAGUAAUUUAUAUGUACACUGAAUUUAACAAAUUUGGCUGAGUACUUUCCAGUUCCAUUUAUAUUAAAUAAAUUCAUACAUUUUUAUUAUUACACAUCAAAAGGAAAGAACUGUAACAAAAUUUACCAAGAACUUUGUGAGGAAACUAGCAAUUUUUCACCCCAUUUAUUUCUUAUUCUUCUUGCCAGGAUGUAGCUAUGCUAACAUUUAUGCUCAGCCAUGUGACUGACUCUUGGCCAAUUGGAUAGACAGGUGGAAGUGAUGUCUAUCAUUUCUAGGCUUGGCCCAUGCAAACUACCCACAUGCCAGUUUCUACGUUCUUUCCUCUUUCAUGAUGACCUUGGAAACUAUUUGUGGAACCUGGUGGAACCACAGGGUGGAAUGGGGUCAGCUCUCUGAAACAUGGAAAAGAGCCAUUUAGCAAUCAAGGACACUUGUCUUGGACCUUAAGUGAUCAAGUAAUAAACCACUGAUACUUAGGAGUUUAUUUAUUGGAACAGCUAGAGUUACCUUUGUUACUACAGUUUAGACUAAUUUAGAUAUGAUUCAAAAGUGUUUAUUAUGUUUGGAUACGACGUGUCUCUGGAAACAUUGGACCAAAGUUAUUUUCUAAUAAUUCCCACAAAGUAACUGAAGUCAUAGUGAAAAGCCCAUUUUCUUGUGACCUACUAGCCAGCAUUGAUAUGAGAAAUUGAAUAAUGAGAAUAAAAAUAACAAAGAAAUAAGACAAAGCUUAAGGAGUCUUUUUAACAACCAGCUGCCUCAUCUUUCCAUUGUAGAAAUAUGUUGGGAGAAAUUCCAGUUACUUACGGCCUCUACAAAGCUAUGGAAGGUUUUGAAAGUUGGUUCUUACAUACAAAGCAAUGGAAGGUUUUGAAAGUUGGUUCUUAGGUUCAGACCAUGAGAAGGAACUGGCUUCCAAAAGAAUGAUUUCUAGUUCUAUAUAGCUUUUGCAUCACACUUAACCCAUAGUAUAAUUGGCCUUCUUUACUUAAUUGAAGGUAGUGACCAUAGGGGAAUAAGGAAGAAAUAAUCACAAAUAUUCACUUUGACUCAAGUUUUAUGACCCAGCCCACCAUUAUCAUUCUGUUCAUUUUAAAAAUCCACCUUUCUGGACAUGCCAGCAUCCUUUUAAUUUUUCUCCAAGCGCCCUAAAAGUAGUUACAAAAAGAAGUAAAAGUUAUAGAAAAUGACCUCAGCAAAUAUAAAUAGGCCUUACGUGAAAGGUAACAGUGACAUACUAUAUCCCCAAAUCCCUUAGGUGCAUCUAAAGUAGAAUUAUCACAUGCAGUUGAUAACUCUUGGGGUGAUGCUCAACCCAUAGCCUGCCCAUCCUGGGAAUAUCCUCCCCAUUCCACAGAGGUCUGUUUCCAGGACUCAUGUAUGUAGAUGGUGGUUCUAGUCCUGACCAUGGUGCAAUGGAUCAAUUAGUCAGCUAAGAUUUUUCCCUCCGGGAAUUCAGGGAUUUUAGAUACAGCAGUAGCAGUAAGUCUGGUCUGUAACUAGACAUGGUGAUAAGUCAAUUGUAGAAUCUAAUGGAAAGUGAUGCCAAUCUUCAAAAGAACAUUUUCAGACCUAUAAAUGAGACAAUCAGCCUGAGAGAGAGGGAAAGAAGGACUUAGAGACAGAGGCAGAGAAUGAAUAACCAAAUGAAAGAGAGCCUAUAUUACUACUGGCUUCCUCUUCCUGGUUAUAAACCCUCCUCUGGAACAUGGCGAGCUUCUGGAUUGGCUCAGAAUAAAGGUGUCGAUGAAUGGCAUGCUCAAGCCUCCCUAACACAAGCCUGCUCUGGCCAGUGAUAAAUGAUGUCUUUGAUUAGCCUUUCUCUUUCAGCUGCCCCUUUCCAACUCUCAUACUGUUUUUUUUUUUUUUUUUUUAAUCUCUGCCUUACUGAUUUUUCAGCAACUCAUUUCCUACUUAUCUCUAAAGAUCUGGCUUAAGUAUCACCUCCUCAGUGAAGUUUUAUCAAAUUCUGUUAGACAAAGUUAGUCAUUUCUGCACCUGUGUUUUCAUAGUACUUUCCACAUUCCAGAACUUAUAACUAUUUGCUUAUGCAAUUCUCAUCCCUCAAACUAGGAGUGCUUGUGAGUGAAAUUAUAAUAUACUUUUCUUUGAUUCUCUAACAGCUAUCUGUGUCUGACACAUAGUAGGCUCUCAAUCAAUGUUCAUGAAAUGAAUGAAUCAGUGUUGCCAAUUUAGUUGGUGUUAUAUCCUCUGUGAUUUCUUAAAACACGAAGACACUCUUUAAAGUGUUGUGUGCACCCAAUAUUUUGAAGAGAACCUUUUCUUUGGAAGGAACUCUGCCUUCUUGCUCUCUGCCAACACUCAUCUUGAGGCAGGAGCUUUCUAGAAUACUUAUUAUUUUAUAAUUAAGAUAUCUUCAUAAGGAAUGACUCAAUUCCACCUAUAGCUAGGGUCCAUUAGCAAAUAAGGUUUUCUUUCACUCCUAAAUCACUCCUAGAAUUAGUUUAUACUUUGAAACAUUAUAUAGGGUAACUGCUUUGAAAUGCUUCAAAAACUAUUAUGAUUUAGAUUAUUAACAAGAAGCCAUCUACUGUAUUGGUCAAGCUAUCAAGAUACAUUAGUUAUACCAUGAAGCUUCAAACUGAUUUGAAGAAAAGUAUAGAUUAAAAUAGAGGUUUUUUUAGAGAUCCAGAUAAGCCUAAAGUGUAUUAUCAGGAUAAUGAAUGGAACACCUCAUAAAUCCUAAAUUUCAUCAAUGCCAUGUCUCUACCACAUUGGAAUUAAGAUUUAUAGGCUCACUACUGUUAAUCCAGGGGGUAGACAUUUAACUACAACCCAGGCAUACCUUGCAGGGCUAUAGGGCUUUUGCUUUCUUCUUGUUACACAGAAGCAUGACCUAUUGGAUCACCAGAUUUUUUAAAUAUGUACAGAGGGAACAGGAAAGGAGCAAAAGCAAAGGGAUUUUAAAAUUUCUGCAUGUAUGUGUCUUUCUGUCUCUCUUUUUUGUGUGUAUUUUUACAAAAUUAUAUGUAUAAUACACACGUAUACAUAAUCAAGUAUAUAUGUGUGUGUGUAUAUAUAUAUAAAUAUGAAAGAGCUCUUCUGAUUUAUUUUCUUCAACCUUUCAUAAGGUGAAGUUUCAUCAAACCACAUCAUGUGACUCUCCAGGAACCUCACUGAACAGGUCUGACUCAUCGUCUGGGAAUUUUAAAUAGGCAUGUGCUUCCAUGAGAGUUAAUACUUAAAAACACACAUACAAACUGGCAGUGAAAGAGAGAAAG
rnacentral:lncRNA from 1 species